rnacentral:rRNA from 1 species
CUGCGAAUACCGGAGAAUGUUAUCACGGGAGACACACGGCGGGUGCUAACGUCCGUCGUGAAGAGGGAAACAACCCAGACCGCCAGCUAAGGUCCCAAAGUCAUGGUUAAGUGGGAAACGAUGUGGGAAGGCCCAGACAGCCAGGAUGUUGGCUUAGAAGCAGCCAUCAUUUAAAGAAAGCGUAAUAGCUCACUGGUCGAGUCGGCCUGCGCGGAAGAUGUAACGGGGCUAAACCAUGCACCGAAGCUGCGGCAGCGACGCUUAUGCGUUGUUGGGUAGGGGAGCGUUCUGUAAGCCUGUGAAGGUGUGCUGUGAGGCAUGCUGGAGGUAUCAGAAGUGCGAAUGCUGACAUAAGUAACGAUAAAGCGGGUGAAAAGCCCGCUCGCCGGAAGACCAAGGGUUCCUGUCCAACGUUAAUCGGGGCAGGGUGAGUCGACCCCUAAGGCGAGGCCGAAAGGCGUAGUCGAUGGGAAACAGGUUAAUAUUCCUGUACUUGGUGUUACUGCGAAGGGGGGACGGAGAAGGCUAUGUUGGCCGGGCGACGGUUGUCCCGGUUUAAGCGUGUAGGCUGGUUUUCCAGGCAAAUCCGGAAAAUCAAGGCUGAGGCGUGAUGA